UCACCUGAAUACAAACAAAUAAAAUAGAUUGAAAUGGAUCUAACCACGUUGCAAAGACCGUAACAGGAUUGAAGAAAAUCUGCAAUUUCGACCUACCGAUGGACCUAGACAUUGCGAGAACGCCAGAAACACGAGCGCCUUGCCAUUGUAUAACUUUCCCUCCAGCUUUCUCUAUUCUUGCAUACUCAUCCUCUCUAUCAGGCUUCCAAAACAAAAAAAAAAAGGUAAGAAACUUCAUUAUCAUUGUAUGAAUGAGAAGUAAGAAACUAUCUCAGAUG